AUUGAACGCUGGCGGCAGGCCUAACACAUGCAAGUCGAACGAGUGGCGGACGGGUGAGUAAUGUCUGGGAAACUGCCUGGUGGAGGGGGAUAACUAAUGGAAACGGUAGCUAAUACCGCAUACAAUCAGAUGUGCCCAGAUGGGCUUAGCUAGUUGGUGGUGUAACGGCGCACCAAGGCGACGACCCGUAGCUGGUCUGAGAGGAUGACCAGCCACACUGGAACUGAUACACGGUCCAGACCCCUACGGGAGGCAGCAGUGGCGAAUAUUGUACAAUGGGCGCAAGCCUGAUGCAGCCAUGCCGCGUGUAUGAAGAAGGCCUUCGGGUUGUAAAGUACUUUCAGCGAGGAGGCGUUACCCGCAGAAGAAGCACCGGCUAACUCCGUGCCAGCAGCCGCGGUAAUAC
rnacentral:rRNA from 1 species